UACGUAGGAGACGAGCGUUGUCCGGAAUUACUGGGCGUAAAGGGCGCGUAGGCGGGAUGGCAAGUCGGUCGUGAAAUCCCUCGGCUCAACCGAGGAACGUCGAUCGAUACUGCUGUUCUUGAGGAUUGCAGAGGAGACUGGAAUUCCCGGUGUAGUGGUGAAAUGCGUAGAUAUCGGGAGGAACACCAGUGGCGAAGGCGACUUCCUGGCCUGUUCUUGACGCUGAGGCGCGAAAGCUAGGGUAGCAAACGGG
rnacentral:rRNA from 1 species